AACUAACACACUUACUUACUUAGAUAAAUUGCUUGCUUAAUUCUUAUCCGCACAUCCUUUAGUUGCAAGCAUAUUUAAUCAAGUCGAAGUCUAUACAUCAAAUCCUUGCUAAGUUUAACUUUCACUGUGCAUCUAUACAACUUAGCAUAGUUAAUCAAAAAGUUUUAGAAGUAGCAUAAAAGUUUUGAAAGACCCAAUUCACCCCCCCUCUUGGGUUGUAUCUACUGGGCAACA
rnacentral:lncRNA from 1 species